CUUUUACGAGCCACGCCCGUGAGGAAUGCUGGUAUGCAGCCUACUGAGUAAAUGUUCCAUGCAGUUCUGUCCUCAAGAUAUGGCUUAUCCACCUGAUGGUCCACUGGAACAACGGUUCUGAUUUCAUAUUUUUGCACGCGCACUGUGAAGAGGCACUUCAUACCAUCAUUCCUCUACAAUCUGUUAUUUCGCCACUCGCCCUCCGGUAAUAACGCUUGAGCUGGGCCGGUAGCCUCUACCAUACCUGUUGAACAGACGCCCGACCGUUAUGGGGCCCAUCCUGUUGUGCAAGUGAAAUCCACUUCGUUCACCAGUGGUCCACUCACACAGCAUACUCUACUGCAAGAAACUAAAGACAAUGAAUCAGAUACUGUACUACCCAUUUUCUAGACAUGGCCGCCCCAUAUCGUAGGAUCUUGAUCAGAUGGUUAAGGACUGCCCAAUCAGAGCCAAAACUCACAGAUUCAGGCCCACCAAUCUGAUUAUCAGUAUCAAUCAAGGGAGUAGUCGUACAUACAGUACUGUGAUAGCAGUGCCCUGCUCACGUGGGAAGCACUCGGGCCCACAUAUAUUAUUGUGGCAUGCAUGCCAGAUCUGGCAAUACAGCAGGUGGGC